rnacentral:tmRNA from 1 species
GGGGGUGACAAGGUUUCGACGGACAGGAUCGUGCGGCAGGUUGCGUGUCGAGCUGGCUUGACUCGGGCUCGUAAAUCCCGUCAGGAAAUUGUAAUUGCGAACGAUUACUCGUACGCGAUGGUGGCAUAGACCACCAUCUGUCUGCUUCGCAGGCCCGCUCAUCGGCGGCGCAGCAGGCAUCGACUUCAGGUGAGCACCCUGCGUUUGGAUUCCGGCUGGAUCUGACGCAGCGGCACCCAAUCAGCCUGUGCCGUACCCGGUGUUGGUCGUUGGCCUAAGGGUACCGGCAAGAACGAAGCAAUGACCUACACACGUAGAUGCCUCGACUGUGCGUCUGUUCGGACCCGGGUUCGAUUCCCGGCAUCUCCACAA